CGCAGCCAAGUCAAAUUCGGUGCCUGCCCCGGCCAUGGCAGGCACCGGCCCUGCAGGCUGCCACAGGAACAUUGUGGCUCAUGGGCCCUGAGGCCCUGGUCGGCCUCAGGGAUAAAUUUGGUUACAGACACCA